CACUUUCCUCCUCUUUCACGUUAUUACUCCUCUCUCAAAUAUUCCACAACUCAAUUUUCUCUCUCUUCAUUGUGCCUCCAUUAGAGCAUUAAUCAAGCUGGGAUUGCUCUUAGCUUCAAUUUUGUUCUAAUUGUUGCGAUUUCACUCCUUAUUCUCAAAGAUAUUCAUCGAGUUUCCAGAUUUUGUGUGUUUAAAGGUUUCUAUCUGCUUGAGCUAAGGAAUUAACAGUUCUUCAUAGUCUACUAUCAUCAAUCGCUGAAUUGAAUCUGCUUAAAACUUCUAUGGAGAAUAGUAAUUCUACCUUUGACAAAGAGAAGGCACAAGAACGGUUAUAAAAGCUCUCUGGUGGUGUUGUUGUUUUUAAGGUCCUAUGUUUGUUUCUGAAAUAUGAUCCCUUACUGGACCAAGCUGAGUGGCAUGGUGUGGACAAAGAAACUGAAGAUUCUAAGACCCCUUUUAUAGCAAGGGGUUUUGCUAGCAUCUCGAGUCUCUCGAUUUUGCCUGAUCUUGAUCCCAAAGAUGGAGCAAUCGUAAGAGGUGAUACUCCUAUGUCAGUCACAUGCUUUGCUGCUCCUAGUGAUCAAUGAUGUAUGUGGUCUCCCUAAUUAUAAUCUUAUUGGCUUGUCUCCCUUAAAUGCUCGCCAACAGUUUAUUUUAAUGAUUGCAGGGGUAAAUGAUGAAUGUGGUUGAUCCCAUUUUA